rnacentral:lncRNA from 1 species
UUUUAACAGUUUGGAUUUUUCUUUGGGCUUCCUUAGCUUGGGUGCUAAUGGGCCAACACUGCUAAUAAAUUCAUUUGGUUUGGGCUCCACCUCCCUAACAGUUUGGUGUGGUGUGGUGAGGGAUAGUCAUUAUUGGACUUCUAAUGGAUCCUAACCGUGGGUUCCAACCGUUAAACAAUCCGCCGGCCUCAGGUCUCACUGACUCGGUCCAGAGAUCCGGCCGCCACCCUCGCCUCCCUCCCGAGAUCCCGCCGCCGCCGCCGCCACCUCCGCCUCGCCUCCCUCCCGAGAUCCCGCCGCCGCCGCCGCCACCUCCGCCUCGCCUCCCUCCCUCCCCAUCCCGAGAUCCCGCUCCCUCCGGCAACAAGGAAGCUGACGUCUCGAGCUCCAGUCAGUCCGCCCCCUGGCCCAUCAGAUCCAAUUCCUUCCCCGACCCCCAUCCCGGAUCCGCCGCAAUUCCUUAGCGUCUCGAGCUCGAUUGCUCCCUGUCCGUGG